rnacentral:rRNA from 1 species
GACGAACGCUGGCGGCGUGCUUAACACAUGCAAGUCGAACGGAAAGGCCCUGCUUUUGUGGGGUGCUCGAGUGGCGAACGGGUGAGUAACACGUGAGUAACCUGCCCUUGACUUUGGGAUAACUUCAGGAAACUGGGGCUAAUCCCGGAUAGGAGCUCCUGCUGCGUGGUGGGGGUUGGAAAGUUUCGGCGGUUGGGGAUGGACUCGCGGCUUAUCAGCUUGUUGGUGGGGUAGUGGCUUACCAAGGCUUUGACGGGUAGCCGGCCUGAGAGGGUGACCGGCCACACUGGGACUGAGAUACGGCCCAGACUCCUACGGGAGGCAGCAGGGGGGAAUAUUGCACAAUGGGCGGAAGCCUGAUGAAGCAACGCCGCGUGCGGGAUGACGGCCUUCGGGUUGUAAACCGCUUUCGCCUGUGACGAAGCGUGAGUGACGGUAAUGGGUAAAGAAGCACCGGCUAACUACGUG